AAGGUGCUGGGGUGUGGAAGCAGCCUCCGGCCCAGCUGCUAGCUCCGGCCGCCCCGCCCCUCCUUCCAGGUCUCCCGGGCUCCAGCAACCUGCAGACUGGUGCGUUAGUCUGCAAAUCAGAGCGGAUCGGUGACUUUGGGGUCGCGGUCCCCAACCUAGAAGCGCAGCCCACAGCGAGGGAGCAGGCUGUGCCCCUGGAUAUGUUGCUGGAGGACUAAACAGAAGAGCUCAGGGUCGUGCCCAGCUGGCGGCCGACCCAGGGAAAGGCAAAGGCGUACAAGCUAGACCACGCAGCUGGAGGAAGUAGAGCAGAGAGAAGGAAACCAGGAGAUUUGGACCCGGGUAUGGAGGGCGGGGAACACUCCAGAACUGAGGAUCAGGAGCUUGGGCGUGCAACUGGUUCCCAGAGCACCAACUUGGCCAUUGCGGAUAAAGAAGACAUCGAGUUCAUUCAGACUGUAUUGUCAGAAAAGGAGCCAAGGUUUGAGGGGUGGAAACCUUGUCAUUUUCACCUUUAAAUCAUCUCCUGGCGUCACCUCUGCCUGACGAGACCUUUGAAGUGAUGUGCAGUUUCCUGAUGGGAAUCGGUUUAUAGUUAAUGAUGGACCAUCCACACGCCAGUGCAUUCGGGGCAGAGUAAGGCAGCAAAAUGUAGGAGCAGGACUGCUAUACGGUGCUUGAGCUGGACUGUUGAAAUCACAUAUGAUCCACUCAAUGCAACCCGACAAAGACUGUUGACACAAUCUUGUGGAUAUCAGAAAGCUAAAGAAAGUCAAAAAAUGGCAUACUUCUCAUCUUGCCUGGAAACAUUACUGAGUCAAAGAAAUGGAGGUGAAGAGA